UACCUCUGAAAGAAACUCCAGUACCUCCAAGGCUUUCUAACAUCUCAAGGAAACCAGCGCAUGUUCGACCUUCCCCCUCGGCCACGUACCACCGUAGCACAAGUUCUUCUUGCGUACGAUUCUCCUCUUGGUACACACUCUUGAACCGCAGGUCCUAGAAGCCGUUCACUGUCUCGAAGGGCCGUACGUUUACAAAGUUCACAUCAUCCUAGUUGUUAUGAUGACUUUCGAUGGCGGCUCCUAGGUUCAACCUGUUUUGCAGUGCAUUCCUAAAAAUUGCCGCACCGCCAGCCAGGCAAGGCCUCGCUUCCCCCCUCGGACAGCGUAAGAGACGGUCGUCACCGGCUAGGGUGCGGGGACCCAGCUAGGCCUGGCAGCUUAGUUCUAUCCGUGCUCGUGAAGGCCGGCCGUCGCAGGUGGAGGUGGUCGCCUCACUUAACGUGCAUGGCAGGACCAUGACCACCCAAUCCAGGUUUUGUCAGGACCUCGAGCGAUUGACGGAGCGAUGCCAGGACGAUGAGCGCUUUAUCCAGGUAGCUGCCAGGACCCGGCCGAGCGAGAGGCAGAGGCCGCGGCCGCAGCCGUGGCCGCUCGCAACGUAGGACACGCCCGCCUCCGAAUCGAUAGGCUCAGCACCGGGCGCUGCCGGCCUCGUCCUCGCGGCCAACGACACGUCCGCCUCCGCCUCGGCAGGGUCGGCACCGGGCGCCGCCGCUGAUGUGGUAGCCGCACGUGCCCUCUCGUAAGGGCGUCCUCCACACCGCGGCACCUCUAGGUACAGAGGCGGGCCUCUCAACAGCACAGGAGGACCGAAUGUGCGGACCCUGCCUGCGCGACCUCUUUCUCCCACACGACGAUUCGAUGACAGCCGAGUCAUGACGGCACCCGCACACGACGAAUCCAUGACGGCUCACGGCUGUCACGCACCCUCUGCCUGAGCAGUUCCCGCAUGACUUCCUCGAGGUGCCGUUCGACUAACGGUAGCUCGGCGGGAGGCCAUCCGCCCUCAACGUCCAGUUACGUACCAACGCACGGCGGCCGUUGAGACCUCUAGUGACU
rnacentral:rRNA from 1 species